rnacentral:rRNA from 1 species
GACGAACGCUGGCGGCGUGCCUAACACAUGCAAGUGGAGCGACGAACCGAGGCUUCGGCCUGGGGCAAAGCCGCGAACGGGUGAGUAACACGUGGGUAACCUGCCCUGAUGAUUGGGACAACCCGAGGAAACUCGGGCUAAUACCAAAUGUGCCCUUCGGCCACAAGGCCGCUGGGGAAAGGAAGCUUCGGCCUCCGCAUCUGGAUGGGCCCGCGGCCCAUUAGCUUGUUGGUGAGGUAACGGCUCACCAAGGCGACGAUGGGUAGCUGGUCUGAGAGGACGAUCAGGCCACACUGGGACUGAGACCACGGGCCCAGACUCCUACGGGAGGCAGCAGUGGGGAAUCGUUGCGCAAUGCGCGAAAGCGUGACGCA